UACAGAACGAACGCUGGCGGCAUGCCUAACACAUGCAAGUCGAACGAGACCUUCGGGUCUAGUGGCGCACGGGUGCGUAACGCGUGGGAACCUGCCUUUAGGUUCGGAAUAACUCAGAGAAAUUUGAGCUAAUACCGGAUAAUGUCUUCGGACCAAAGAUUUAUCGCCUUUAGAUGGGGCCCGCGUUGGAUUAGCUAGUUGGUGGGGUAAAGGCCUACUAAGGCGACGAUCCAUAGCUGGUCUGAGAGGAUGAUCAGCCACACUGGGACUGAGACACGGCCCAGACUCCUACGGGAGGCAGCAGUGGGGAAUAUUGGACAAUGGGCGAAAGCCUGAUCCAGCAAUGCCGCGUGAGUGAUGAAGGCCUUAGGGUUGUAAAGCUCUUUUACCCGAGAUGAUAAUGACAGUAUCGGGAGAAUAAGCUCCGGCUAACUCCGUG
rnacentral:rRNA from 1 species